AGAAUCAACGCUGGCGGCGUGCCUAACACAUGCAAGUCGAACGAGAAAGGGUAGCAAUACCUGAGUAAAGUGGCGCACGGGUGAGUAACACGUGACUAACCUACCCUAGAGUGGGGGAUAACUGAGGGAAAACCUUAGCUAAUACCGCAUAAUACCCACGGGUCAAAGGAGCAAUUCGCUUUAGGAGGGGGUCGCGGUCGAUUAGUUAGUUGGCGGGGUAAUGGCCCACCAAGACUUUGAUCGAUAUCC
rnacentral:rRNA from 1 species